AGUGGCAAAAUGGAGACAAAAAAAACUCUCAAAUGUUCUAAACUGCUAAAACAUCACUCCUGUGGUUAAAAAUAAAUACUUAACAUGGAUGAUUUGGAAAUAAUAUGGCAAUGCAUUUUACUUGGUAUUCCUAUUGUGGAAAUAGGGAUGUGUAAUCGAUUGCAGUGAGCUUCGUCAGGGAUAAAAGAAGGAGAAAGAAGAGACAAGGAGACAGAGACAAGCGUGCAGAGCUAUGCUAAUGCUAACACCCAUGCGAAGUAGUGUACCAAGUUGUCCAGUGUUUGCUGUUUUUGACCCAUGUGUUUAUUCAGUAAUUGCCUCUACUGUGCCUUUUGAACUGUGCUAUCUUUUGACACCAUUCUUUGGAUUACUCUUUGGAUUUGUCUGUUCUACUGAUUGCUACAUCUGCGUUUAUGCUCUGACUGUCUGCUACAACCAAUUUUUUGGAUUAUGGUUUGGAUCUUUUGAUAACACUGCAUAUGGAUUACA